UGGCGAACGGGUGAGUAACACGUGGGUAACCUGCCCAUCAGAAGGGGAUAACACUUGGAAACAGGUGCUAAUACCGUAUAACACUAUUUUCCGCAUGGAAGAAAGUUGAAAGGCGCUUUUGCGUCACUGAUGGAUGGACCCGCGGUGCAUUAGCUAGUUGGUGAGGUAACGGCUCACCAAGGCAACGAUGCAUAGCCGACCUGAGAGGGUGAUCGGCCACACUGGGACUGAGACACGGCCCAGACUCCUACGGGAGGCAGCAGUAGGGAAUCUUCGGCAAUGGACGAAAGUCUGACCGAGCAACGCCGCGUGAGUGAAGAAGGUUUUCGGAUCGUAAAACUCUGUUGUUAGAGAAGAACAAGGAUGAGAGUAGAACGUUCAUCCCUUGA
rnacentral:rRNA from 1 species